AGUGAACGCUGGCGGUAGGCCUAACACAUGCAAGUCGAACGGCAGCACAGUAAGAGCUUGCUCUUACGGGUGGCGAGUGGCGGACGGGUGAGGAAUACAUCGGAAUCUACUUUUUCGUGGGGGAUAACGUAGGGAAACUUACGCUAAUACCGCAUACGAAAUACGGGUGAAAGCAGGGGAUCUUCGGACCUUGCGCGAUUGAAUGAGCCGAUGUCGGAUUAGCUAGUUGGCGGGGUAAAGGCCCACCAAGGCGACGAUCCGUAGCUGGUCUGAGAGGAUGAUCAGCCACACUGGAACUGAGACACGGUCCAGACUCCUACGGGAGGCAGCAGUGGGGAAUAUUGGACAAUGGGCGCAAGCCUGAUCCAGCCAUACCGCGUGGGUGAAGAAGGCCUUCGGGUUGUAAAGCCCUUUUGUUGGGAAAGAAAAGCAGCAGGUUAAUACCCCGCUGUUCUGACGGUACCCAAAGAAUAAGCACCGGCUAACUUCGUG
rnacentral:rRNA from 1 species